rnacentral:lncRNA from 1 species
AGCGCGGUAGUGGGCACGACGGCGGUUGGGCAGCCUAGAGAGGAGCGGUCGGCUAGGGUUAAGUGGAGUUGAAAAAUUAGUCAAUUCCACUUAAUGUGUAUAUAUACUAGGGUUCUCAAAGCCCUCGUUGGGCUUAAGAUGGACCGUGUCCGGUAAGUUGUUAGGUCCACAACUUCGCAUGUUUUUUUCUCUUACAAACGAUUGCUCAUAUUAUUGUGAUGAGUAUAAAAUUCUCGUUAAUACGAGGGCCACUUGAAAUUUUACAAUUUUCAAAAUUGAAGAUCUUCAAUUCAAUGCACCUAUUAAAUAUGGAAACUUUUCCAAUUUAUAAAGUUAAUUAAAAUUACCCGUAUCACCCCCUAACUACAUGUUCUCUUCACCACUGCCGGAACUAAUAGUCCGUUAGGAUUUCUAACAAUGUUUCAGAGUGUGAUUGUGAUUAUCGAUACGACAUGGACCUUAAUUUAUUUUAGCAUAUCUCAUGGUUGUAGGUGUUAUUUUUCCUUACUUGUAUUGAAUUAUGUCACAAUUAUACUAAAUCGUUCAAAGUGAUAGAGUAACUCGGUAGGAAUAUUUCUAGAGGCAUUUACAAAUAAGCCAUCAUGGGCUACUUAUUCAUAAAGAAC